rnacentral:rRNA from 1 species
UUGCGGGGCGGAUUAGUGGCGAACGGGUGAGUAAUACGUGAGUAACCUGCCCUGGACUCUGGGAUAAGCCUGGGAAACUGGGUCUAAUACUGGAUACGACCUUCCGCCGCAUGGUGGGGGGUGGAAAGGGUUUACUGGUUGUGGAUGGGCUCACGGCCUAUCAGCUGGUUGGUGGGGUAAUGGCUCACCAAGGCGACGACGGGUAGCCGGCCUGAGAGGGUGACCGGCCACACUGGGACUGAGACACGGCCCAGACUCCUACGGGAGGCAGCAGUGGGGAAUAUUGCACAAUGGGCGCAAGCCUGAUGCAGCGACGCCGCGUGAGGGAUGACGGCCUUCGGGUUGUAAACCUCUUUCAGUAGGGAAGAAGCGCAAGUGACGGUACCUGCAGAAGAAGCGCCGGCUAACUACGUGCCAGCAGCCGCGGUAAUACGUAGGGCGCAAGCGUUGUCCGGAAUUAUUGGGCGUAAAGAGCUCGUAGGCGGUUUGUCGCGUCCGCUGUGAAAGCCCGGGGCUCAACCCCGGGUCGGCAGUGGGUACGGGCAGACUAGAGUGCAGUAGGGGAGACUGGAAUUCCUGGUGUAGCGGUGAAAUGCGCAGAUAUCAGGAGGAACACCGAUGGCGAAGGCAGGUCUCUGGGCUGUUACUGACGCUGAGGAGCGAAAGCAUGGGGAGCGAACAGGAUUAGAUACCCUGGUAGUCCAUGCCGUAAACGUUGGGCACUAGGUGUGGGGGACAUUCCACGU